rnacentral:rRNA from 1 species
UACGGGGGGGGGCAAGCGUUGUUCGGAAUUACUGGGCGUAAAGCGUGCGCAGGCGGUUGGUCGUGUCCUGUGUGAAAGCCCCGGGCUUAACCUGGGAAUGGCAUGGGAGAACUGGCUAGCUGGAGGGAUGCAGAGGUGAGUGGAAUUCCGUGGUGUACCGGUGAAAUGGGUAGAUAUCAGGAGGAACGACCCGUGGCGAAGGCGGCUCACUGGGCAUCGACCUGACGCUGAGGCGCGAAAGUGUGGGUAGCAAACAGG